rnacentral:rRNA from 1 species
GGGUUGUGAGGUUAAGCGACUAAGCGUACACGGUGGAUGCCCUGGCAGUCAGAGGCGAUGAAGGACGUGCUAAUCUGCGAUAAGCGUCGGUAAGGUGAUAUGAACCGUUAUAACCGGCGAUUUCCGAAUGGGGAAACCCAGUGUGAUUCGUCACACUAUCAUUAACUGAAUCCAUAGGUUAAUGAGGCGAACCGGGGGAACUGAAACAUCUAAGUACCCCGAGGAAAAGAAAUCAACCGAGAUUCCCCCAGUAGCGGCGAGCGAACGGGGAGCAGCCCAGAGCCUGAAUCAGUGUGUGUGUUAGUGGAAGCGUCUGGAAAGGCGUGCGAUACAGGGUGACAGCCCCGUACACAAAAAUGCACAUACUGUGAGCUCGAUGAGUAGGGCGGGACACGUGGUAUCCUGUCUGAAUAUGGGGGGACCAUCCUCCAAGGCUAAAUACUCCUGACUGACCGAUAGUGAACCAGUACCGUGAGGGAAAGGCGAAAAGAACCCCGGCGAGGGGAGUGAAAAAGAACCUGAAACCGUGUACGUACAAGCAGUGGGAGCACGCUUAGGCGUGUGACUGCGUACCUUUUGUAUAAUGGGUCAGCGACUUAUAUUCUGUAGCAAGGUUAACCGAAUAGGGGAGCCGAAGGGAAACCGAGUCUUAACUGGGCGUUAAGUUGCAGGGUAUAGACCCGAAACCCGGUGAUCUAGCCAUGGGCAGGUUGAAGGUUGGGUAACACUAACUGGAGGACCGAACCGACUAAUGUUGAAAAAUUAGCGGAUGACUUGUGGCUGGGGGUGAAAGGCCAAUCAAACCGGGAGAUAGCUGGUUCUCCCCGAAAGCUAUUUAGGUAGCGCCUCGUGAAUUCAUCUCCGGGGGUAGAGCACUGUUUCGGCAAGGGGGUCAUCCCGACUUACCAACCCGAUGCAAACUGCGAAUACCGGAGAAUGUUAUCACGGGAGACACACGGCGGGUGCUAACGUCCGUCGUGAAGAGGGAAACAACCCAGACCGCCAGCUAAGGUCCCAAAGUCAUGGUUAAGUGGGAAACGAUGUGGGAAGGCCCAGACAGCCAGGAUGUUGGCUUAGAAGCAGCCAUCAUUUAAAGAAAGCGUAAUAGCUCACUGGUCGAGUCGGCCUGCGCGGAAGAUGUAACGGGGCUAAACCAUGCACCGAAGCUGCGGCAGCGACGCUUAUGCGUUGUUGGGUAGGGGAGCGUUCUGUAAGCCUGUGAAGGUGUGCUGUGAGGUAUGCUGGAGGUAUCAGAAGUGCGAAUGCUGACAUAAGUAACGAUAAAGCGGGUGAAAAGCCCGCUCGCCGGAAGACCAAGGGUUCCUGUCCAACGUUAAUCGGGGCAGGGUGAGUCGACCCCUAAGGCGAGGCCGAAAGGCGUAGUCGAUGGGAAACAGGUUAAUAUUCCUGUACUUGGUGUUACUGCGAAGGGGGGACGGAGAAGGCUAUGUUGGCCGGGCGACGGUUGUCCCGGUUUAAGCGUGUAGGCUGGUUUUCCAGGCAAAUCCGGAAAAUCAAGGCCGAGGCGUGAUGACGAGGCACUACGGUGCUGAAGCAACAAAUGCCCUGCUUCCAGGAAAAGCCUCUAAGCAUCAGGUAACAUCAAAUCGUACCCCAAACCGACACAGGUGGUCAGGUAGAGAAUACCAAGGCGCUUGAGAGAACUCGGGUGAAGGAACUAGGCAAAAUGGUGCCGUAACUUCGGGAGAAGGCACGCUGAUACGUAGGUGAAGCGACUUGCUCGUGGAGCUGAAAUCAGUCGAAGAUACCAGCUGGCUGCAACUGUUUAUUAAAAACACAGCACUGUGCAAACACGAAAGUGGACGUAUACGGUGUGACGCCUGCCCGGUGCCGGAAGGUUAAUUGAUGGGGUUAGCGCAAGCGAAGCUCUUGAUCGAAGCCCCGGUAAACGGCGGCCGUAACUAUAACGGUCCUAAGGUAGCGAAAUUCCUUGUCGGGUAAGUUCCGACCUGCACGAAUGGCGUAAUGAUGGCCAGGCUGUCUCCACCCGAGACUCAGUGAAAUUGAACUCGCUGUGAAGAUGCAGUGUACCCGCGGCAAGACGGAAAGACCCCGUGAACCUUUACUAUAGCUUGACACUGAACAUUGAGCCUUGAUGUGUAGGAUAGGUGGGAGGCUUUGAAGUGUGGACGCCAGUCUGCAUGGAGCCGACCUUGAAAUACCACCCUUUAAUGUUUGAUGUUCUAACGUGGACCCGUGAUCCGGGUUGCGGACAGUGUCUGGUGGGUAGUUUGACUGGGGCGGUCUCCUCCUAAAGAGUAACGGAGGAGCACGAAGGUUGGCUAAUCCUGGUCGGACAUCAGGAGGUUAGUGCAAUGGCAUAAGCCAGCUUGACUGCGAGCGUGACGGCGCGAGCAGGUGCGAAAGCAGGUCAUAGUGAUCCGGUGGUUCUGAAUGGAAGGGCCAUCGCUCAACGGAUAAAAGGUACUCCGGGGAUAACAGGCUGAUACCGCCCAAGAGUUCAUAUCGACGGCGGUGUUUGGCACCUCGAUGUCGGCUCAUCACAUCCUGGGGCUGAAGUAGGUCCCAAGGGUAUGGCUGUUCGCCAUUUAAAGUGGUACGCGAGCUGGGUUUAGAACGUCGUGAGACAGUUCGGUCCCUAUCUGCCGUGGGCGCUGGAGAACUGAGGGGGGCUGCUCCUAGUACGAGAGGACCGGAGUGGACGCAUCACUGGUGUUCGGGUUGUCAUGCCAAUGGCACUGCCCGGUAGCUAAAUGCGGAAGAGAUAAGUGCUGAAAGCAUCUAAGCACGAAACUUGCCCCGAGAUGAGUUCUCCCUGACCCUUUAAGGGUCCUGAAGGAACGUU